rnacentral:rRNA from 1 species
GACGAACGCUGGCGGCGUGCCUAAUACAUGCAAGUUGAGCGCUGAAGGUUGGUACUUGUACCAACUGGAUGAGCAGCGAACGGGUGAGUAACGCGUGGGGAAUCUGCCUUUGAGCGGGGGACAACAUUUGGAAACGAAUGCUAAUACCGCAUAAAAACUUUAAACACAAGUUUUAAGUUUGAAAGAUGCAAUUGCAUCACUCAAAGAUGAUCCCGCGUUGUAUUAGCUAGUUGGUGAGGUAAAGGCUCACCAAGGCGAUGAUACAUAGCCGACCUGAGAGGGUGAUCGGCCACAGUGGGACUGAGACACGGCCCAAACUCCUACGGGAGGCAGCAGUAGGGAAUCUUCGGCAAUGGACGAAAGUCUGACCGAGCAACGCCGCGUGAGUGAAGAAGGGUUUCGGAUCGUAAAACUCUGUUGGUAGAGAAGAACGUUGGUGAGAGUGGAAAGCUCAUCAAGUGACGGUAACUACCCAGAAAGGGACGGCUAACUACGUG